GAUGAAGAACGUAGCGAAAUGCGAUAAGUAGUGUGAAUUGCAGAAUUCAGUGAAUCAUCGAAUCUUUGAACGCACAUUGCGCCCUUUGGUAUUCCUUAGGGCAUGCCUGUUCGAGCGUCAUUUAAACCUUCAAGCUAAGCUUGGUGUUGGGUGACUGUCCGCUUCACGGCGGACUCGCCUCAAAAUUAUUGGCGGCCGGUACAUUGGCUUCGAGCGCAGCAGAAACGCGAACUCGGGCCCGUCGUAUUGGCUCCCAGAAGCUAUCUUCACAAUUUUGACCUCGGAUCAGGUAGGGAUACCCGCUGAACUUAGGCAUAUCAAUAAGCGGAGGA
rnacentral:misc_RNA from 1 species